AUCCUCCCGCUGCCUUUCGUUUUAAAAAUGGUUUGCGUCGCAACACCUCGUGUUUCUGAGCCAUGAUCACAGUGCCGAUUACCUUUCCAUUGGAUCCAAGCACCUGGACCUGCUGAAGGCAUCCAUCAGUCCACGGAUCAUCACAACGUGGACUAACUUUUUAUUUACAGUACUUGGUUAAACUGUGAUCUUGAAACUGGAGCACCAGAUAUGCAAAAAUCUUCCUGCAGACUUUGUUUGCUACCCUGACACUGCAGUCAUCCUGGACGGGGCUGAGCCGCUCUUCCUCUCUCCUCUUCCUCUCUCCUCUUCCUCUCCCCCAGAGUGACGAGUUUUCAUCACCAGUAAAGGCGAACAAGUCUGACGUCUGAUUAGCUGCUAGAAAGUAUAUUAUAUAUUCACUGUUCAUUUUGUUAUCCUGUUUGUACCUACAAUAAAAUUGAAUAUCAUUUGUAAUACUCUACAUUUUACAAACCUUUUUUUUCCUUUUCUCAGUUUUUAUGUUAUAUCAAGUAUUUACAUGUAGAUCAGGAAUUAAAGUGAGAUGUUAAAAUGCAACACUUUUAGGUAAUACCAGCAAAGAAAUGUGAAUAUUAAGCAAUAUGUAGUUAGUCAUCUAAUUUAAUAUACUGAAUAAGGCUGGAUGAUAUGACUUACAAGAUUUUUUUUCAUAUCAGAUUUGAUUUUAAUCAAUACCUCCCAUCCUCAAUUUCUAUAAUAAAAUCACAGAAAGUAUUUUCAAAAAGUGCCUUUAUUUCAAUCAUCUGUUCUUUGCGUUGUAUGAGGGAGCAUUACGGUCAGGAUACAAGAAAUUUUAAUUGCAAGAUUGCAGUCAUCGUUACAGCAGAAUAAAGGUGCAAUUUUAUAACAAUGUCUUAAAAUUACAAGAAGUCGUUUUAAUGAGAAAUAAAGAUUCAGACUGAUCUGACGUAACUAGCUCAGUCCAUGUGGUUCUGACAUUUGUCAGUAAUCAACAGGAUGUACAUUUCCACCUCAACUGACCAGGUAAGCAUUAAGGUAAAAAUAAAAAAUAGAGCAAAUACUGUAAACAAAAUG